GGCGGGGAGCAGAGAGCCUCCUGGACAGGGAGCAGGAACAUUCAGGUGAACUCUGAGGUGAUGGUGAGGGCACAUGCACCUGUCUCGCCAGGAAGCCCACCUGCCCGGGGGAUGUGCGCCCUGUGACCAGAGGAAGGGCAGACCUGGGGGAAACACCCAAUGAUUAAUCCAGAUGCUGAAAUGUUUCAGGCCACCAUCCUCGGUUUGGCAGCUUGGGGCUGAGAUAUUUUUAAGAAGGAAAAAAAUGUAACAGACUACUCAUGAAUCCAAUACCAAGAUCAAUAACUGUACAUCAACACCAAUGAGCAUAUCCUGCUGGCUCUACCUCCAAAAUACAUCCAGGAUCUGACCACUUUUUGCCACCUCCACUGAGACCAUCCUGAUUCCAGCUGCAUCCAUUUCCAUCUACCACCUUUUAAAAGUACUUGCCAUUCACUCAUAGUUCGUGUUCCCCAACAAGAAGGCAAAGAUAUGAUCUGUUUUGUUUAUUCUUGUACCACCUGCCUCACGAGCAGUGCUGAUACAUAAUAAGUAUUCAAUAAACACUUGUUGGAUGAAUGAAUAUUUUAA